GCACUGCCGAGGAGUCCCACAAUAGGACGAAAAGGUCGUCCAGUGC
rfam:Schistosoma haematobium scaffold698_2, whole genome shotgun sequence.